CCUACGGGAGGCUGCAGUGAGGAAUAUUGGACAAUGGGCGCGAGCCUGAAGCAGCCAAGUCGCGUGAGGGAAGACGGUCUUAUGGUUGGUAAACCUCUUUUGUCGGGGAACAAAAGACGCGACGCGUGGCGGUCCGAGAGUACCCGAAGAAAAAGCAUCGGAUAACUCCGUGCCAGCAGCCGAGGUAAUACGGAGGAUGCGAGCGUUAUCCGGAUUUAUAGGGUUUAAAGGGUUCGCAGGCGGAAGAUCAAGUCAGCGGUAAAAUUGAGAGGCCAAACCUCUUCGAGCCGUUGAAACUGGUUGUCUUGAGUGAGCGAGAAGUAUGCGGAAUGCGUGGUGUAGCGGUGAAAUGCAUAGAUAUCACGCAGAACUCCGAUUGCGAAGGCAGCAUACCGGCGCUCAACUGACGCUCAUGCACGAAAGUGUGGGUAUCGAACAGGAUUAGAUACCCGAGUAGUC
rnacentral:rRNA from 1 species